UACGGAGGAUGCAAGCGUUAUCCGGAAUGAUUGGGCGUAAAGCGUCCGCAGGUGGCAAUGUAAGUCUGCUGUUAAAGAGUCUAGCUCAACUAGAUACAAGCAGUGGAAACUACAUAGCUAGAGUACGUUCGGGGGCAGAGGGAAUUCCUGGUGUAGGCGGUGAAAUGCGUAGAGAUCAGGAAGAACACCGGUGGCGAAGGCGCUCUGCUAGGCCGUAACUGACACUGAGGGACGAAAGCUAGGGGAGCGAAUGGAUAG
rnacentral:rRNA from 1 species